AGCCCAGACUCCUACGGGAGGCAGCAGUGGGGAAUAUUGCGCAAUGGGCGAAAGCCUGAUGCAGCGACGCCGCGUGAGUGAAGAAGUAAUUCGUUAUGUAAAGCUCUAUCAGCAGGGAAGAAAAUGACGGUACCUGAGUAAGAAGCCCCGGCUAACUACGUGCCAGCAGCCGCGGUAAUACGUAGGGGGCAAGCGUUAUCCGGAUUUACUGGGUGUAAAGGGAGCGUAGACGGCGAUGCAAGCCAGAUGUGAAAGCCCGGGGCUCAACCCCGGGACUGCAUUUGGAACUGUGUGGCUGGAGUGUCGGAGAGGCAGGCGGAAUUCCUAGUGUAGCGGUGAAAUGCGUAGAUAUUAGGAGGAACACCAGUGGCGAAGGCGGCCUGCUGGACGAUGACUGACGUUGAGGCUCGAAAGCGUGGGGAGCAAACAGGAUUAGAUACCCCAGUAGC
rnacentral:rRNA from 1 species